UACAGAGGUCCCAAGCGUUGUUCGGAUUCAUUGGGCGUAAAGGGCGCGUAGGCGGUUUUUUAAGUGAGGCGUGAAAGCCCUGGGCUUAACCCAGGAGGUGCGUUUCAUACUGAAAGACUUGAGUACGAGAGAGGAAAGCGGAAUUCCUAGUGUAGAGGUGAAAUUCGUAGAUAUUAGGAAGAACACCAGUGGCGAAGGCGGCUUUCUGGCUCGUAACUGACGCUGAGGCGCGAAAGCGUGGGGAGCAAACAGG
rnacentral:rRNA from 1 species